ensembl:lncRNA
AUGACUUCGAGACCAGACACCUGGGCCUUACAUUUAAUCAAAAAUGGUGGAUCUAUCGUAUUCGGUGAAAACCAAUCAGUUUAUUCUUAUGCAAAAAAUAAUCUUCAAAUGAUAGAAACAAAAGCUAAAGCAAAAGAUAAUGAAGAUGAAUUUACACAAAAGAAUAAUUUUUCAGAUGAUAAUAAAUCAUACAUAAAUUAUAAACUAAAAAAUAAUGCAUAUGCCGUAAAUUUAAGUUCAGUAGAAGCAAAUAUGAAAAAUAAUUAUAUUUUUUUAAAUGUAAAGAGUACAGCAAUUCUUGACACAUCGAAUCCAUAUAUAACUUUACCACCAUCUUUUGUUAACAAUUUUAAACAAUCUCUGAGCAAUUUAUGCAAAACUGAAAAUAAAAUUUGUAAAUACCCAUUAAAAGAUGAAAUCACAAUAUAUAAUUAUCCAAAGCUAAUACAACUAUUACCUGAUAUAAAACUAUCUAUAAAUGAUCAACAUGAAGUAUCAAUUAAACCGGAUGCCUAUAUUGUAAAGAAAAAUGACGAUAAUUACAAAGUUUUAAUAAAUGCUUCUGAUGAUAUAAGUUUAGGAGUUCCGUUUUUUUUGGAUAAAUAUAUAAUAUUUAAUGAUGCACAUAAAAGAAUAAAAAUAUUUGACGCUCCACCCAUGAGCAGCAAAAAUGGUGAAGACUAUUCUAUGAUGAAUUUAAUUCAAAAUAAAACAGAUAAAUUUAACAAAAGAUUUAGGUCUUCAACACAAAGAAAUGCAAGUAAUUUAAAAGGAGAAAUGUAUGGAGUACAAAUAAAAGGAGGUGAAGUGCAUGGACACGGACAUGGACACGGACAUGGAGAUGGACAUGGACACGGACAUGGACAUGGACAUGGACAUGGACACGGAUAUGAAUAUGAAUAUGAGUAUGGAUUUGAAAAUGGUCACAGACAUGAUAACGGACUUGGACACAAACUUGGACACGGAAUUGGACAUAGACUUGGACACGAACUUGGACACGGACAUAGACAUGGACAUAAAGGUGUAGAGGAAAUACAUAUAAACAUGCCAAAACACAUAGCGACAGAAGGAAGGACUGAAUUAGAAAUAGAAGCAAAAAAAAUAGCAGCAGAAGAAUUACAGGCUAAAUUAGAAAAAGAAAUGGCAAAAAAAGAAGCAACAGAAAAAGCAGCAGAAGCAACAGCAGCAGCAGAAGAAAUAGCUAAAUUAGCAAACAAAGCAGCAGAAAAUGCAGCUAUAGAAGAAAAGGCUAAAUUAAAAAAANNNNNNNNNNGAAGAAAAAGGAGCAACUGAAGAAAAAGGAGCAACUAAAGAAAAAGGAGCAACAGACGAAGUAUCAAAUAUAGCAGUGCCAAACAUAGGAGAUAUAAAAAAUAAUCCUUCAGAUAAACCAAAAGAUGUUAUGCAAUCAAACGUUAAUUUAUAUAACGCUCUAAAUGAAGUAACAAAGGCAGAAGAAGCAGUUAAAACAGCUAAGAAAGAACAUGAUAAGGCUAUAACAGCAGCAAAUAAGGCAAAACAAGCUGAACAUGAAGCAGAUAAAGAUGCAAAAAAAAAGAAGCAGAUGCUCAAAUAGCAAAAAAUGCAAUAAACGAUAAAACUGGAGAUGAUAAAAAAAAGGC